CUGAGAUGGUUAUUGUCAAAAUGUUGAUUUUGUAGCCAAAUAAUAAUAAUUAUUUUUUUGACGUGUGCUUGGGGUUAUUGUCUUGCUGGAAGAUCCACUUGCAGCCACGUUUCAGCUUCCUGGCAGAGGCAACCAGCCCAAUAAGAUAAAAAAUCAUCACCAUAUUUCACAGGAGAUAUGAGAUUAUUUUCUGCGUAGGCAUCCUUUUCGAUGCCAAACCCACUGCUGGGGUACAUGGGCCUGUAGUAAAACGCCAAAUGGAUCUACCUCCUGGUCCUCUUCCCCAUGGGAACAGCUGAUAGACUCAUUGCUGAUAGAGUAAGGGCACUGUCAUAAACAGAGGCCCAUAUGCACACUGUAAGAAAAGUGUUUCCUCAUUGUUGCUAGAGUAAUAGGCUCUGUCAUAACCAGAGGCCCAUAUAUGCACUGUAAGAAAAGUAUUUCCUGUUGUAAGAUAUGUCAUCACCCUCUCUGCUCUGAGGGAAUGGGAGGAGUAGCUGAUCGGGUGCAGAGAAUCAAAAGGUAUAUAAAGAGACAUUUGCCAUUACUUUGGCGCUGACUUCUUGAAUUCUGAAUUCAUUUAGGCAACCAUUUGACUUCGGGUAAUUGCCACCUGACUCAAAUUACUUAAAGAUUCUAACUUGCUGGAUACCAGGGUAAGAGUCCGUUUACCUAUCGACCAGUUGACCCUGUGUGCAGCAUACCGUUGACCGAGUGUACCGUUGUGCCAACGUCUUAAUUGACCAGGAACACUGUAGCACCGGCCGGGUUGCUUGCCCCAGACACUGCGGUAGAUCAACGGCAGAAUUACCACCUGCUGAGAACGGUUGGAAAGUUGUUCGAAUCGACUCUGUCUCCGACUGACCCAGCGACACGUGUACUGUUGUAGCACAGUGCCUUGCCCUGGAAUCGCGGUUGCAGGUUAUUUGACAAUACUAUCCAGCCUGAGGGCAGGUUAGAGUACUCAGGCUAACUUGAAUCUCGAAAUUUAGUUGAACCAAUGAUUCCUCAUGGGAGAGAUCGAUACAUAAACUAAAUUCUCAGAACUCUGACCGAUUGAAACUCUGCUCCUGAUCUCGUGGGUCUCCUCGUCAUCUCUCAAAGGACCUGAGCCCUAGGACCAUGCCCCAGGACUACCUGACAUGAUGACUCCUUGCUGUCCCCAGUCCACCUGGCCAUGCUGCUGCUCCAGUUUCAACUGUUCUGCCUUACUAUUAUUCGACCAUGCUGGUCAUUUAUGAACAUUUGAACAUCUUGGCCAUGUUCUGUUAUAAUUUCCACCCGGCACAGCCAGAAGAGGACUGGCCACCCCACAUAGCCUGGUUGCUCUCUAGGUUUCUUCCUAGGUUUUGGCCUUUCUAGGGAGUUUUUCCUAGCCACCGUUCUUCUACACCUGCAUUGCUUGCUGUUUGGGGUUUUAGGCUGGGUUUCUGUACAGAACUUUGAGAUAUCAGCUGAUGUACGAAGGGCUAUAUAAAUAAAUUUGAUUUGAUUUGAUUUGA